GAUGAAGAACGCAGCGAAAUGCGAUAAGUAAUGUGAAUUGCAGAAUUCAGUGAAUCAUCGAAUCUUUGAACGCACCUUGCACCCUUUGGCAUUCCGAAGGGUAUGCUCGUUUGAGUGUCAUUGUACUCUCACACUUCCAAUCUUUGGAUUGGGAGCAGUGGACUUGGGUGUUGCUGCUUACUGUGGCUCACCUCAAAUCGAUUCGUGCACCUCUUGGUUGGACAUAGUACGGCGUGAUAAGUGUCUUCGCCGGCACCUCAGUAGAGGGUGGCUGAUCAGGAGCUCUGUGCUUCAAACCGUCCUCGGACAACAACUGACAACUUGACCUCAAAUCGAGUAGGACUACCCGCUGAACUUAAGCAUAUCAAUAAGCGGAGGA
rnacentral:misc_RNA from 1 species